ACUAAGACAUGCUAGUCGUGCGUCUCCUACCAUGGUGGAGACGCGGCACACAGCUCAGUAACACGUAGGCUAACCUGCCCUUGGGACGGAAACAUCCCCGGGAAACUGGGGCCAAUUUCCGAUAGGUGAAGAACCCUGGAAUGAGUCUUCGCCCAAAAGGCGCCUAAGCAUGCUUCUAGGUGUUGCCCAAGGAUGGGGCCGCGGCCGAUCAGGUUGUUGGUGAGGUAAUGGCUCACCAAGCCUUUAACCGGUACGGGGCCGUGGGAGCGGUAGCCCGGAGAUGGGCACUGAACAAGGGCCCAGGUCCUACGGGGUGCAGCAGUCGCGAAAACUUCGCAAUAAGCGAAAGCUUGACGGGGCCAUCCCGAGUGCCAUCUGCUGAGGAUGGCUUUUACCCAGUGUAAUAGCUGGGGGAAUAAGGAGAGGGCAAGUCUGGUGUCAGCCGCCGCGGUAAUACCAGCUCUCCGAGUUGUGGGGAUGUCUAUUGGGCCUGAAGCAUCCCGUAGCCGGCUGGGCAAGUCCUCUGUUAAAUCCAGCGACUAAUCGUUGGCCUGCAGGGGGAUACUGUCCGGCU
rnacentral:rRNA from 1 species